rnacentral:rRNA from 1 species
GACGAACGCUGGCGGCGUGCUUAACACAUGCCAGUCGUACGGUAAGGCCCUUUCGGGGGUACACGAGUGGCGAACGGGUGAGUAACACGUGAGUAACCUGCCCACAACUUUGGGAUAACGCUAGGAAACUGGUGCUAAUACUGGAUAUGUGCUCCUGCUGCAUGGGGGGGGUUGGAAAGCUCCGGCGGUUGUGGAUGGACUCGCGGCCUAUCAGCUUGUUGGUGGGGUAGUGGCCUACCAAGGCGGCGACGGGUAGCCGGCCUGAGAGGGUGACCGGCCACAUUGGGACUGAGAUACGGCCCAGACUCCGACGGGAGGCAGCAGUGGGGAAUAUUGCACAAUGGGCGCAAGCCUGAUGCAGCAACGCCGCGUGCGGGAUGACGGCCUUCGGGUUGUAAACCGCUUUCAGCAGGGACGAAGCUUUUUGUGACGGUACCUGCAGAAGAAGCACCGGCUAACUACGUG